rnacentral:rRNA from 1 species
UGUUCCUACGGGGGGCAGCAGUGGGGAAUAUUGGGCAAUGGAGGCAACUCUGACCCAGCAACGCCGCGUGAAUGAUGAAGGUCUUCGGAUUGUAAAGUUCUUUUCUAAGGGAAGAAGAAAGUGACGGUACCUUAGGAAUAAGCCUCGGCUAACUACGUGCCAGCAGCCGCGGUAAUACGUAGGAGGCAAGCGUUAUCCGGAAUGACUGGGCGUAAAGGGUGCGUAGGUGGUUCAGAAAGUUAGUAGCGUAACUCCGGGGCUCAACCUCGGCACUACUACUAAAACUGUUGGACUUGAGUGCAGGA